rnacentral:lncRNA from 1 species
GAUCGAGCAGACACUGGGCAGCAGUUUAUUGUUUUAGGAACAGGAAUAAUGCUGCUAUGAACAUUCAUGUACAAGUCUCCGGGUCGGCAUAUGCUUUCAUUUCUCUUUGGUGAAUGUCUAGGAAUAGCAUUGCUGGCACACAUGUGAGAAGACUGCUGUCUGCAAACCAGGAAGAGAGCCCACGCCAACAAUGCUGACACCCUGAUCUUGACCUUCCAGCCUCUAGAAUGAUUAGCCCUGAGCUAACAUCUGCUGCCAAUCUUCAUCUUUUUUGCUGAGGAGGGCUGGCCCUGAGCUGAUAUCUGUGCCCAUCUUCCUCUACUUUAUGUGUGGGAUGCCUGCCACAGCAUGGCUUGACAAGCGGUGCCAUGUCCGCACCUGGGAUCUGAACCAGCGAACCCUGGGCCGCUGAAGUGGAAUGUGCAAACCUAAUGGCUGUGCCACCAGGCCGGCCCCCAACAAUUGAUUUUUGUAUAUUGACCUUGUAUCCUGC